rnacentral:rRNA from 1 species
ACAUCCAGAGAACUUAGCAGAGAUGCUUGGUGCCUUCGGGAACUCUGAGACAGGUGCUGCAUGGCUGUCGUCAGCUCGUGUUGUGAAAUGUUGGGUUAAGUCCCGNAACGAGCGCAACCCUUAUCCUUUGUUGCCAGCGGUUCGGCCGGGAACUCAAAGGAGACUGCCGGUGAUAAACCGGAGGAAGGUGGGGAUGACGUCAAGUCAUCAUGGCCCUUACGGCCAGGGCUACACACGUGCUACAAUGGCGCAUACAAAGAGAAGCGACCUCGCGAGAGCAAGCGGACCUCAUAAAGUGCGUCGUAGUCCGGAUUGGAGUCUGCAACUCGACUCCAUGAAGUCGGAAUCGCUAGUAAUCGUAGAUCAGAAUGCUACGGUGAAUACGUUCCCGGGCCUUGUACACACCGCCCGUCACACCAUGGGAGUGGGUUGCAAAAGAAGUAGGUAGCUUAACCUUCGGGAGGGCGCUUACCACUUUGUGAUUCAUGACUGGGGUGAAGUCGUAACAAGGUAAGCGUAGCGAG